UACGAAGGGGGCUAGCGUUGCUCGGAAUUACUGGGCGUAAAGGGCGCGUAGGCGGCACUGUUAGUCAGGCGUGAAAGUCCUGGGCUCAACCUGGGAACUGCAUUUGUGACUGCAUGGCUGGAGUGCGGCAGAGGGGGAUGGAAUUCCGCGUGUAGCAGUGAAAUGCGUAGAUAUCAGGAGGAACACCGAUGGCGAAGGCAGGUCUCUGGGCUGGCACUGACGCUCAUGCACGAAAGCGUGGGGAGCAAACAGG
rnacentral:rRNA from 1 species